GAUAUAAGGAAGAAGUUCUGUAGUGUGAGGGUGGUGAGGCCCUGGCAUAGGUUGCUUAGAGAAGCUGUGGCUGCCCCACCCCUGACAGUGUUCAAGACCAGGUUGGACAGGGCUUGGAGCAACCUGCUCUAGUGGAA